rnacentral:lncRNA from 1 species
GGAUUAGAUCUAAACUAUCAAUUAAGAAUAUAUGAUAUAAAAAAUUUAUAUAUAAAAUUUGAUAUAAAAUAAAAAAACUACAUUGAUCACUUCGAUGUCCUAGGUCUGAUAUAACCUUUAGAUCAUAUCGGUUGAGUUUAGAACACAUCAUCUUUUCAUGGAUCGAUGAUCUCUACUUCUAGUAAGUGUGGUAUGAAGCUCUUGCUAAUACCAAAUAGCCACAC